UACGUAGGGUGCAAGCGUUGCCCGGAUUUAUUGGGCGUAAAGGGCGCGUAGGCGGCUCGGCACGUCCGUUGUGAAAUCGCCCGGCUCAACUGGGCGGGGUCAGCGGAUACGGCCGAGCUUGAGCAAGCUAGGGGGCAAUGGAAUUCCCGGUGUAGUGGUGGAAUGCGUAGAUAUCGGGAGGAACACCGGUGGCGAAGGCGGUUCUCUGGGACGGUACUGACGCUGAGACGCGAAAGCGUGGGGAGCGAACAGG
rnacentral:rRNA from 1 species